rnacentral:rRNA from 1 species
UGGUGGAGUGAUUUGUCUGGUUGAUUCCGUUAACGAACGAGAUCUCGACCCUUAAAUAGGUGUGCCAGAUUUACAUCAGGUUUCGGCCUGAUUCCGGCAUUACUUCUUAAGGGGACUGCUGUUUGCGUUUAAAGCCGGCGGAAGAGCGAGCCAAUAGCA